UAACAGUGUCACUACUGUCCUUACCCACAGCAGCAGGGUAGUCAGCCACAGUGAGAAGCUGACUGAGCAGCUUCUUGAGCAAUAACAAGCCUCCAGUGCUGCAGACAAACUACAGUGCUUCAGCUCACACCUAAAGGAACACACUCUUCAAGUUUUCAUGCAAAUGCUGCUUACUCUGAAGUCAACGACAGAAGAGCAAACUGAGCAGGACUGGAGUCUUCACAGGGAAAUUGCAGUUUCCCCAGCAAGGGCAUACUCUGAAGAGGAGGCUUAUUUUUCUUUAUAUCAUAAUGACAAGGGAAGAAAAAGCAAGGAAGAAAAGACUCUAAUUGCAGCCUUCCACCAAUGCAGUCGCCAUCUGGUAACUCAAGAGACACAUGGAGCUGAAUUAUCUUAAUUAACGUGUUACAAAAGUAUUUAAAAAACUCUAUGCUUAUUAACACUCAGCUGUGAUUAGCCAACCAUGGAGGAAGCCUCCUAGUGCAACAUUAAUUAUGGGUCUUGUCUGUCUAUUAGAAAUAUGAUUUUUUUUCCCCAGUAGUUUAUCUCUCUCCUAAAAUAAAAACCAUUAGCAUCAAAGCU